rnacentral:sRNA from 1 species
UUCUAUCUGUAAAGCGGUUGCUGAUUGC